rnacentral:rRNA from 1 species
AUUGAACGCUGGCGGCAGGCCUAACACAUGCAAGUCGAACGAGUGGCGGACGGGUGAGUAAUGUCUGGGAAACUGACCGAUGGAGGGGGAUAAAUACUGGAAACGGUAGCUAAUACCGCAUACCAUCGGAUGUGCCCAGAUUGGAUUAGCUAGUAGGGUGGGUAACGGCUCACCUAGGCGACGAUCCUUAGCUGGUCUGAGAGGAUGACCAGCCACACUGGAACUGAGACACGGUCCAGACUCCUACGGGAGGCAGCAGUGGGUAAUUUGGGACAAUGGGGGCAAGCCUGAUGCAGCCAUGCCGCGUGUAUGAAUAAGGCCUUCGGGUUGUAAAGUACUUUUAUCGAGGAGGCGUUACUCACAGAAGAAGCACCGGCUAACUCCGUGCCAGCAGCCGCGGUAAUUC